GGCUCAGGAUGAACGCUGGCGGCGUGCUUAACACAUGCAAGUCGAACGAUGAUGCCCAGCUUGCUGGGUGGAUUAGUGGCGAACGGGUGAGUAACACGUGAGUAACCUGCCCUUGACUCUGGGAUAAGCCUGGGAAACUGGGUCUAAUACCGGAUAUGACUGCUCCGCGCAUGCGGUGGUGGUGGAAAGCUUUUGCGGUUUUGGAUGGACUCGCGGCCUAUCAGCUUGUUGGUGGGGUAAUGGCCUACCAAGGCGACGACGGGUAGCCGGCCUGAGAGGGUGACCGGCCACACUGGGACUGAGACACGGCCCAGACUCCUACGGGAGGCAGCAGUGGGGAAUAUUGCACAAUGGGCGCAAGCCUGAUGCAGCGACGCCGCGUGAGGGAUGACGGCCUUCGGGUUGUAAACCUCUUUCAGUAGGGAAGAAGCGAUAAGUGACGGUACCUGCAGAAGAAGCGCCGGCUAACUACGUGCCAGCAGCCGCGGUAAUACGUAGGGCGCAAGCGUUAUCCG
rnacentral:rRNA from 1 species